rnacentral:rRNA from 1 species
AUGCACGGUCAUGGAGACGCGGUAGCAGGUCUGUGUUUCAACGGCCCAAGGUCUUCCCUGCGGCGUGGUGGGCUGUGCUGGGUUGGGGCGUGCCCUGCCAUGCGCUGGCGGCAGCUGAUGCGACUGCGGCCAGUUCCGGCAAGCGGCGCGGGCUGGGGCCCGUUGGGACAACUUGGGUCCCGGUUGGCUGUCUCUAAAGUGCUCGGUGGAGGUGGUGACGUGGUGGAGGUGGAGUUCAUGCGGUGGGCAUGUGACGAUCUCCUCCUAGGGCUUGCCACGUCCGGUGUGCUAGGUUGUGUGGUGGCCCUCGAUGGUGGCACAGCAGUGGCAGAGCAUGCUGUGGGAGCGUUUGGAGGUGAUGGCGAUUGGCCUCCAGAGGUGCUAGCUGCCAUUGGGCGGCCGGAGGUGCCGGAUGCCGCGGUGGUCUUCCCAUCUAUUUUUGCGCAGGCAGAUCUGAUGGGGCGACGCCUGCCCCUCCUAGUAGUGUAG